AGACCCUUUUGUGUCACCUUCAGGUAUCUAGUCGAUCUUGCAUCUUCUCUUUGCAGAUGACUGUCUGUCAGUAGGUCGGGCUUCUAUCUAAAAUGCGACUGGCUUAUGGAGAAUUCUGGAGGAGUACUGUGCUACAUCGGUCAGAAAGUGAACCUCCUUAAGUCUGCGGUUAUAUUUAGUCUAAGGACGCCAACCCAACUAUG
rnacentral:lncRNA from 1 species